ACGAAAAAUAACGAUACGGGACUCAUCCGAGGCCCCGUAAUCGGAAUGAGUACACUCUAAACCCUUUAACGAGGAUCAAUUGGAGGGCAAGUCUGGUGCCAGCAGCCGCGGUAAUUCCAGCUCCAAUAGCGUAUAUUAAAGUUGUUGCGGUUAAAAAGCUCGUAGUCGAAUUUGUGUCCCGCGCCGCCGGUUCAUCGCUCGCGGUGUUAACUGGCGUGUCCGCGGGACGUCCUGCCGGUGGGCUUAGCUCUUUCGGGGGCGGCCCAAUCUCAAUCCCACCGCGGUGCUCUUCACUGAGUGUCGAGGUGGGCCGGCACGUUUACUUUGAACAAAUUAGAGUGCUUAAAGCAGGCUAAAACAUCGCCUGAAUACUGUGUGCAUGGAAUAAUGGAAUAGGACCUCGGUUCUAUUUUGUUGGUUUUCGGAACCCCGAGGUAAUGAUUAAUAGGAACGGAUGGGGGCAUUCGUAUUGCGACGUUAGAGGUGAAAUUCUUGGAUCGUCGCAGGACGGACAGAAGCGAAAGCAUUUGCCAAAAACGUUUUCAUUGAUCAAGAACGAAAGUUAGAGGUUCGAAGGCGAUCAGAUACCGCCCUAGUUCUAACCAUAAACUAUGCCAGCUAGCGAUCCGCCGACGUUCCUCCGAUGACUCGGCGGGCAGCUUCCGGGAAACCAAAGCUUUUGGGUUCCGGGGGAAGUAUGGUUGCAAAGCUGAAACUUAAAGGAAUUGACGGAAGGGCACCACCAGGAGUGGAGCCUGCGGCUUAAUUUGACUCAACACGGGAAACCUCACCAGGCCCGGACACCGGAAGGAUUGACAGAUUGAGAGC
rnacentral:rRNA from 1 species